rnacentral:tRNA from 1 species
AUGGUAGACGAUCGGCACAUGUCUUCGGAUAUGGCCCGGUAUGAACCUUCCCGUGCUUUUUAGAACAUAGAUGGCACCAGUCAGGUGACCAUCGAAACGCAAUACGCCACGGAAAUGCUUUUAGCAUUCGGAUGGUAUGGCGAGCUUUCGCCGUCCACGUUUCUCUUUCUUCAAGAAGACAAAGAACCGCGUCGAUCCGGAUAGUUUUUGCUGUCUGGACCGGUUUGACGAGAAUGGGCCCGUAGCUCAGUUGGUUAGAGCACACGCUUGAUAAGCGUGGGGUCGGAAGUUCAAGUCUUCCCGGGCCCACCAGCCUUCGCCCUUUUGGGCUAUGGCUUGGCGAGCCGGGAGUGAACGGAUGCGGUUUUGUUGCCGAGCCGAUGGAGCGAUCCAUUGGGUGUCGAGCUGGAUGGGGCUGUAGCUCAGCUGGGAGAGCACCUGCUUUGCAAGCAGGGGGUCAGCGGUUCGAUCCCGCUCAGCUCCACCAAAUCGAUUGGUGUCGAGACUGACGGUAAUUGUCUUCUGAAGAAAUAAAGGUUUUGCAUCGGCUUUUGAGCUGGAUGCGUGUUCUGCAUACAUUGUGAAGAGAAGAUUGAUCUGGAGGCUUCCAGGUGUUUUGAGCGACCGUAUGGUUGUUUAAGGCGUCCGAGCCCGGACCUGAUGAUAUCGUGGAUGGCCUAGCCGGCUGGAAACGAAGGAGGGGACGGAGGUAGGAAGGAAGCUUGUCGCUCUGAGCCGUUGUUGUUAGUCCUCUUCGAGGACUUCUGACGGACGGCUGGAUUACCGUUGCCUGACCGCGCGGUAUCGGAUCCAAUCUCGAGAAGCUGGUCUUAAGACAGGCUGCAAGCGAGCUGCUCGGCGUAGCUCCGAUAAAGCAAGCCUGUCGAACACGUCGAUGGCAUUGUUGAGUAGGCUGGGUUGUAAAAGGUAACCCGGUCUGUUGCUCGUUUCCGAAAGGGAAUGACGACUAGAUGAUGAGCAUUGGCAAUGAGAACGAUCAAGUGUCGUAAGGGUAUUUAGUGGAUGCCUAGGCAUGCACAGGCGAUGAAGGACGUGAUACGCUGCGAAAAGCCGUGGGAGCUGCGAAUAAG